GACUCUUUUUUUUUUUUUUUUUUCUCGUGCGUCGAUGAGAACGCACCAGCUGCGAGAAGUAAUGUGAAUGCAGGACCAUUGAUCAUCGAUACUUCGAACGCACAUGCGGCCCCGGGAGUUCUUCCCGGGGCACGCCUGUCUGAGGUCG
rnacentral:rRNA from 1 species